UAUCCUACAUGCUGAUCACGUGGGUUUGUCCAAUUUCACCAGCAUUCACUAAUAACAUAGUGUCCACUUAAUCGUCGAUCAUAAUCUACAAGUGAUAUCUGGAUUUUAACAUGGUUAUGGAACUUAAAAUGUUUCUUUUAGAGAGAGAAUACCCCAAGGAUGCCGAUAAACAUCAGCGUUACAUCCUGAAAUGGAAAGCCUCAAAUUUCUGGAAGAUCGAUGGUGCUGUGAUCCUGGACAGUCCUCUCCAUCCUGUGACUGAGGGGCAUCCUCUGUUUAUAUCGCAACCCAAACAUCUCAGUUGCUUCUGUUGAUUUCUAUAAAGAUGAUUCAUUUUUGCAGAACCAGACAACAGGAGAGAUGAUCAUCAGUAGUGUCUCAAAGUCAGAUGAAGGUUUCUACCACUGUAAACACCCAGAGAGAGGAGAGUCACUGAAAAGCUGGGUUCUAGUUAGAUUUCUAUCAAAUGGAAAAGCUCCAACAUCUGUACUGAAGCUCCUCAGCAGUGUAGCAACAGCCUCCCUGUAUGUGCUGGUGACCAUCAUUCUGGCAAUGAAAUGUUACAGAGCUCGAGCUGAACCUGAUGAGGACAACAGACCAUACAGAGUGAUAGAAGCUGAAACGUCUUUCUGAGUGUCAGGUUAUAACAUUAUCUAAAACAUCCAUCUUUUAAAUAACAGCAGGUUCCAAUGCAACAGAGAACACAUACAUACAUGUCAUGAUGUAGUAAUGAGUGGAUGUGAGGCUUUAAAUUCUCCUUAAAGUGUUAAGGAGUUUUUUAUGGGGGGCAGUCGUGGCCUAAUGGUUAGAGAGUCUGACUCGUAACCCGAGGGUUUGUGGGUUCGAGUCUCGGGCCGGCCACAACUGCGGUGCCCUUGAGCAAGGCACCGAACCCCCCCAAACUGCUCCCCGGGCACCGCAUGCAUAAAUGGCUGCCCACUGCUCCGGGUGUGUUCACGUUGUGUGUGUGUUCACUGCUGUGUGUGUGCACUUUGGAUGGGUUAAAUGCAGAGAACAAAUUCUCAG